AGUGCACGCUGGCGGCGUGCUUAACACAUGCAAGUCGAACGAGAACGGAAUAUAGCUUGCUAUAUUUGUCAGCUAAGUGGCGCACGGGUGAGUAAUGUAUAGAUAACCUGCCCUUAAGAAAGGAAUAACAGUUGGAAACGACUGCUAAUGCCCUAUAUGCCUUUAAUACAUAAGUAUGCAAGGGAAACGCUUUAGUGCUUAAGGAUGGGUCUGUAUGGUAUCAGCUUGUUGGUGAGGUAAUGGCUCACCAAGGCUAUGACGCCUAACUGGUUUGAGAGGAUGAUCAGUCACACUGGAACUGAGACACGGUCCAGACUCCUACGGGAGGCAGCGGUGGGGAAUAUUGCACAAUGGACGAAAGUCUGAUGCAGCAACGCCGCGUGGAGGAUGACACAUUUCGGUGCGUAAACUCCUUUUAUAUAGGAAGAUAAUGACGGUACUAUAUGAAUAAGCACCGGCUAACUCCGUGCCAGCCGCCGCAGUAA
rnacentral:rRNA from 1 species